CCUACGGGAGGCAGCAGUGGGGAAUAUUGCACAAUGGGGGAAACCCUGAUGCAGCAACGCCGCGUGAGUGAAGAAGUAUUUCGGUAUGUAAAGCUCUAUCAGCAGGGAAGAAAAUGACAGUACCUGACUAAGAAGCCCCGGCUAACUACGUGCCAGCAGCCGCGGUAAUACGUAGGGGGCAAGCGUUAUCCGGAUUUACUGGGUGGAAAGGGAGCGUAGACGGCGGCGCAAGUCAGAAGUGAAAGCCCGGGGCUCAACCGCGGGACUGCUUUUGAAACUGUGUAGCUAGAGUGCAGGAGAGGUAAGUGGAAUUCCUAGGGUAGCGGUGAAAUGCGUAGAUAUUAGGAGGAACACCGGUGGCGAAGGCGGCUUACUGGACUGUAACUGACGUUGAGGCUCGAAAGCGUGGGGAGCAAACAGGAUUAGAUACCCCAGUAGUC
rnacentral:rRNA from 1 species